UGUCCCUGCCCAUGGCAGAGGGGUGGAACUGGGUGAUCUUUAAGGUCCCUUCCAUUUCAUUAUGUUACAGAAUUAAAACCUUAUUUCGAAUGAAACUGGUAUCUUGUGAUUGACGUUAUUUUGUGACAAAUUAAACGUGUGCCAUCGCUUCACUAGAGAGUCACUUGAAAAAAACUAAGAAAAAGAACCCUCGGGCUAUAAAAACUGCAGACCAGUUGUGACUCAGCGCAUGCGCGGAGGCUCUGCCCCGUGUCCGCUCUGACUACAUUUCCCAGCGUGCCCCGCGGCGCCCCCGCGCAUGCUCCCGGCGCCGCGGAGAGACCCGCGGCGAUCGCGGUCCGUGGACAUGGAGGAGGGCGCUGGGAGCGGGGUCUCGGGGCCGUCGAGCGCGGAUGGAGCGGGAGCAGGAGCAGGCCCGGCCCCGGCCGAUGAGGACCGGGACAUGGAGGGGGCCCCCAGCUGCUCGGGGUCGCGCUCCGUCCCCUUCGAGUUCCAGCGGAGCCGCUCGGAGUCCACCGGCGAUGAGGACGACGACGACGACGAAGACGACGACGAGGAGGAAGAGGAGCUGGAGGGGCACGCCGGGGCUCGGUUCGGGACGGAUGACGGGGAGCACGACUCGGGCGACGACCGGGAGCGUAUGAUAAACCUCACAGAGUUGACCCCUUAUAUCCUGUGUUCCAUCUGCAAAGGUUACUUUAUUGAUGCUACAACUAUUACAGAAUGUCUGCACACCUUUUGUAAAAGCUGCAUCGUGAGACACUUCUACUAUAGCAACAGAUGUCCAAAAUGCAAUAUUGUUGUACAUCAGACACAGCCCCUUUAUAAUAUCAGACUGGACCGGCAACUGCAAGACAUAGUCUAUAAAUUAGUUGUCAAUCUUGAGGAAAGAGAGAAAAAACAAAUGCAUGACUUCUAUAAAGAAAGAGGAUUAGAAGUGCCCAAACCAGCUGUCCCACAGCCAGUUCCAACGAGCAGAGGAAGACCUCGUAAGGUUCUAGGCUCAGUGUUCCGGAUUCCACCGGAACUUGACAUCUCCAUACUUCUGGAGUUUAUUGGAGCUAACGAAGGCACAGGGAAUUUUAAGCCUUUGGAAAAGAAGUUUGUGCGUGUUUCUGGGGAGGCAACAAUUGGACAUGUGGAGAAAUUCCUCAGAAGAAAAAUGGAUCUGGACCCUGCUUGUCAGGUGGACAUAAUAUGUGGUGAUCACCUGCUGGAGCACUACCAGACACUGAGGGAAAUUCGUCAGGUCAUAGGAGAGAGCGCAGUGCAGCUGCUGGUUAUUUUCAUGUGUCUGAAACUGGGCCUUCUCAGAGUUCUGCAUCACUGAUGGAUAUAAUGAGCUCACACAUGGGAAAAGCUAAAAGGAGUGCCUUCCGUGAUGUCCUUGGCCCUUGGCACAGAGGAUGGUUUGCUUGUACUGCACUAUGGCCUGGUGGUAUCUCCGCUAACUUAAAGAUUGCUGGAAUAUUACAAGGCAAAAGAAUCUGAAGAGUCAUGGCGCUUCUUCACUGCUGUUUCUCACCAAAGAAGCCAUCGUAUUUCCUGUGGCAGGAAGCAAGUUAAAGGAACUACCACUAACUGCUGUGUGAUCGUAGUGUAACAUCUGACUUCACCACUGUAAAAAAUUGCAGCUUCUGUAAGUACAGCUGUAAAUGUUGGUAUGCUUCAUGUUACAAAUUACUGUCUUCAAAUUUCACUCAGCUCAGGGAAUUUAAAUGCUCAGAGUAGCUGCAUUUUUUUUACUUUCUAAAAACCACAAGAUUUCACAGGGUUAACAGCCUUUUUUUCCUCUAAGCUCUGAGAUAUCUCUUGCUUUCUAAGUGUCUAGCUAGAACAGUGCUCUCAGGGAUGAUCUUCAGUGAGCAGUAUAGUGUAUUUUUGGGAGGAGACAGUGAGUUGCCUAAAAAAAUGUGUACUGUGAUCAUCUGUCUUCAUAUGUGAUUUGGGGGUAGGAAGGAAACUAGAAAUGCAGACCAAAAUAGGUAGAAAACAAUGCAGCAUAAGCAUUAGUUUUUUUGAGAAGUAGCAUUAAAUUUAGUUGUUUUUCUUGGAGAAAGACAAUUUUGUUUGCACUGGAAGUAUAUUUGCUGGUAGUUUGGCUUAUACCAAAUGGUGGAUCAUGCAUCUCUGGUCUUAAUGGAGAUGGGCUGGCUGUAAGCUGGUUAAACUAUGCAUGAAAAAAAAAAGUAGCACCUCUUUCUACCUGCUUGCUGUAUAUAAAAUGAUCACUGUCGGCAUGAUUCUGCUAUCAUGAAUCUAUCAACUGGCUUGACUGUCAGGAGCAUAAAUCCAUUCACUUUAGCACAUACCUCUCUAGCAACUGUGAAAAUGGUUGCUUUUUCCACUCUUUUUAAUGUGUUUUAGUGCAUUGCAGUGGAGACCAGGGUUGAGUAAUGUAAUACUUGCCUGUUACUACCAGAUUCGCAGAGGAUUUUAGGUAACUUUAACAUAUUAAAAUACUGUGGUUUGUGACAACUCUAAUACUUCAAAUUUUCUUCUGUUUAAGAUUUCCAUAUUUUCUUGUGCAGCACUAAGGACCAGAGUGCUCUGUGUGUUAUGGUCUUGCUGGUCAUUGGUGUGGGGAUCCAUGAAAGCUACCAGGAGGCACCAGGCUUCCUCCCUUCCCUAUAGUCAGUGUAGGGAAAAGGAGUCUCAAACCUCCAUUGCAGUGGAGAAGCAGGUGGACUCAGAGCCCUGCAAGGCAGUUAGUCAAGGGUCUGUUGAAGAUGAAGGCUGGAAGCAGGUCACUGCACCAACCAGGAAGGAAGGUUGUUCCUCCUUAUGAAAACUUAACAAAUAGGACUGACACCUUCUACAGCAGUUAUGAGGCCCUGGAACUAGAAGAACAGACAGCUGAUGCAGUGGGCAAAGGUCCUUCUGGGACUGAAGGGUCCCCUAAACCAACACCACCUGUACCCCACAUCACAGCCACCUCUGUUAAGAGGAAAAGAAGGGUAGUUGGUGGUUGUAAUGAGAGACUCCCUUCUAAGGGGAACAGAGGGCCUGAUAGAGAUGGGACCCAACUCAGAGGGUAGUCUGCUGUCUCCCAGGAGCUCGGAUGGGACAUCACUGGAAAACUCUCCAGUUUAGCAAAACCCUCUGAUUACUACCCACUACUGGUUGCUAAGCCAGCAGCAACAAAAGAACAAAGAGAAGUCUGAGGGCAGUCAAAAGAGACUUCAGGGCCUUGGGGCAAUUGGUAGCAGGAUCAGGAGCACAGGUAAUAAUUUCCUCAAUCCUUCCAGUAACAAAGAAUAAUACUGAGAGGAAUAGGCAAAUCCAUCAGGUCAAUGUGUGGCUCAGAGUCUGGUAUAAGGAGAAAAAUUUGUGGGUUUUUGACCAUAGGAUAAUCUAUUCAACACCUGGUCUACUGACACCUGAUGGGAUGCACCUUUCUCAGGGGGGAAAAAGAGUUCUAACACAGGAGCUGGUGGGGCUUGUUGAUAGAGCUUUAAGCUGGCUUGGAAGAGGGAAAGGGGCAAAACCAGGCUUACUAGUAAUGAGCAAGGGAUGGUGUGCAAAACUCAAGGAAGGGAACACUAAUGGAAUCCCUCAAUCUGCCUCACGAGUUAUUGGGUACAAUGUACCACACUUGAAAUGUUUCUAUACCAGUGCAGACAGCACGAAGAACAAACAAGAGGAGCUCGAAGCUUUGACCCAGUCCCAGAGAUCUGAUAUCAAUGGCAUAAGUGAAACCUGGUGGGAUGAGUUCUGUGACUGGAGUGCCCUCUUGGAUCGUUACAGGCUUUUUGGGGGGACAGGCAGAGCAGAAGAGGCAAGGAGUAUCCCUGCAUCCUUUCCAUAGCUGUAUGUGAAGGGUUAGAAUGUAUGGAGCUCACAGCUGGCAAUGGCACAGUUGAGAGCCUCUGGGUAAUAAUCAAGGGGCAAACAAAUAAUGCAGAUGUCACAGUGGGAGUCUGCUGUAGACCUCCCAGCCAGGACAGUGACACUGACAAAUUAUUCUUUGAGAAAUUAAGGGACAAUUCUGAGGCAACUGCCCUUGUCCUUAUGGGGGACUUCAGCUUGCCAGAAAUCAACUGAGAGCAUCACACAGCUGGUACAACCCGGGCCAGAAGAUUCUUAAAAAAACUGGAUGACAGCUUUAUGGAACAGGUCCUAAGGGAGCCAACUUGGAAAGAUGCCCUCCUUGAUCUGCUGCUUGUCAACAGAGUGGAUCUCAUGAGCAAAGUGGAGAUCAGUGGCCAUCUUGGCCACAGCAACUAUGAAGGGAUCAAGUUUAAAAUCUCUGACAGGAGGAAAAGUGCCAGCAAAACUUCGGCUCUGGACAUGGGGAGAGCAGACUUCAGGCUGCUCAGGGAACUAGUAAGUAAAGUCCCCUGGGAAAAUGUUUUUGCAGAUGCUGGGAUCCAUCAGUGCUAGUCUCAAAGGAACACUAACUAAGUUUGCUGACAACACUAAACUGGGAGGAGCUGUUGACUCCCUUGAGGGCAGAGAGGCCUUGCAGAGAGACCUUGACAAAUUAGAGAGUUGGGCAAUCACCAGCUGUAUGAAGUUUCACAAGGACAAAUAGAGAUUCUGCACCUGGCAUGGGACAACCCUGGCUGUGUGUAUAGACUGGGGAAUGAGAGUCUGGAGAGCAGUGCUGCAGAAAGGGACCUGGGGAUCCUGAUUGAUGGCAACUUGAAUAUGAAUCAGCAGUGCCCUGGCAGACAGGAGGGCCAACUGUGUCUGGGGAGGGGCAUCAGGCAAAGUGUCACCAGCUGGUCGAGGGAGGGGAUUGUCCCGCUCUGCUCUGCACUGGGGCAGCCUCACCUUGAAUAUUGUGUGCAGUUUUGGGCACCACAAUAUAAAAAAGACAUUAAGCUAUUAGAGUGUCCAGAGGAGGGUCACAAGGAUGGUAAAGGAUCUGGAGGGGAAGCUGUACAAGGAGCAGCUGAGGUCACUUGGUUUGUUCAGCCUGAAGAAGAGGAGACUGAGGGGAGACCUCCUUGGGGUCUUCAAAAUCCUUAUGAGGGGAAGUGGAGGGACAGGCACUGAUCUCUUCACUCUCAUGAUCAGUGGCAGGACUCAUGGAAACAGCAUGAAGCUGAGUCUCUGUAGGUUUAGUUUGGAUACCGGGAAAAGGCUUUUCACCCAGCGGGUAGUUGGGCACUGAACAGGCUCCCCAGGGAAGUGGUCUCAGCACCAAGCCUGACAGAGUUCAAGAAGCAUUUGGACAAUGCUCUUGGGCACAUGGUGUGACUCCUGGGGUGUCCUGCGCAGGGUCAAGAGUUGGACUCAAUGAUCCUGACAGGUCCCUUCCAACUCAAUGUUUUCUGUGAUUCCUCAUGUUGAGGUGAAACUGCUUGUGUUUUAGUUUAUGGCCAUUGCUCAUUGUCCUGUCGCUGGGCACCACCGAAAAGGGCCUGGCACCAUUCUCUUGGCACCUGCCUUCGAGAUAUUUAUAUGCAUUGAUGAGAUCCCCUCUCAGUCUUCUCUAGACUGAACAGGCCCAGCUCCCGCAGUCUCUCCUCAUAAGAGGGAUGCUCCAGACACCGAAUGAUCUUUGUGGCCUCUGCUGGACCCUCUCCAGCAGCUCCUUGUCCUUCUUGUAUUGAAGAGCCCAGAACUGAACACAGCACUCCUGAUGUGGCCUCGCUAGAGCCAAGUAGAGAGGGGGAGGAUCAGCUCCCUUGACUGGCUGGCCACGUUCUUCCUGAUGCACCCCAGGAUACAAUUGGCCCUCCUGGCCACAAGGGCACAGCGAUGGCUCAAAUAUUAGCUCGAAUGCAUUUGCUCACUGUCAGACUAGGAGGACUGGCAUCCUUUGUCUGAAGAAAGCUUUCAUGAAUCCUCCUGCAGGUCUUUACAAUAAACAUUUGGUUUUGUCUGUGAACAUAGCACCAAGAAAAAAAAAAAGUCUUGUUUGAAGUAAUUCUUGUGAUACUUCUAAAAAUGUAACAAAAAUGUUUUAGCUACAAACUCCUAUUUUACCUUUGAAGUUUGUAUAAAAGUAGUGUUUAAAAUGCAGCAGAAAAUGAGAUUAUUUUGUAAACACCUUGUGAGUUGUGUUGAUAAAAGAUUAUAUAUUGUAACAGUAAAAUAAACUUUAUUUUAGCCAAUUUAAA